GGAGCGGUCCUGGCGCUCCCCCUUGCGGGCCCGCCCGCGCCUCAGCGCCCGCUCCCUGCUCCGGGAAUCCCGGGAAUCCAGGGAUCGUUUGUCCCGGCGGGAAGCAGAGCCGGUUUAUCACGGAAGUUAAAAUAUCGCCUUGUUAGUUUAUUUUUUUAUUAUUAUCAUCACUGUUGGAUUCGGCUCUUAACGAGCUUUUGACCGCCAGCCCUCCUUCUCACUCAGCUUCCCGGAGGGAAAAGGGCAGGAAUUAAAGCUCCGCUUUAAUCGAAGAGUGAGAAAAGAGAAAACCAUUUAAAAAUUGGUUUUCUUGUGGUAGAGAAUCCAGGUAGGAGCUAAGUGUGUGUGUGGCUGUCAGCAGCAUCCUCGUUGUCAAACUAAUGCGAGGGGAAGUUUGAUAACCCCCAGGUAAAAGCCCUUUGAUUUUGAUUUUAAAUUCCAAUAAAAUUUUAGAGGUCUUGUUUGAGGCAGGAUUGUUUGCGGGAUAUGACAUCUCUGUCUCUACUUUCUGUCUUAAUGCCUUGUCAUAGUUCUUGAUGUCUGCCUGUCAGCACAGCGAGAGGGAUUUUUUCAUGUCUGAAUAGUCACCUUAAUGAUAGCAGAUGGAAACGCCACGGGGGGCCCGAGCCCAUCACACUGUCAUUGUCACAGGCUGCCCUGACCUGCUUCCACUCCUCUAUUUUUUUGUCCCUUUUUAAAGGAGAAAUGGAUGGUAAUUGAAAAGGAUCUUAAGCGAGACUUAGGAAGCUGCAGACAACACGAUUCCCCGCUCUCUCUCUCUGUUUUCACAAAUAAAGUCUUAACCUCUUAAGCACCAAUAAGAGUAGAAAGCAAGCUAAAUUGGUAAAGCUUUAUAAAGAUUGGCCUACUAAAGCUUUUUCCUUUCCCUCCUUGGGAUAAAUCCAAGCUGUGCUACAAACUUAUCAUGGUUUAUUUCCUUCAAUAUAUCUUUGAUUUGCACUGAUUUAUCGAUUUCCUAAGGACAUGUAUAUAGGCACUAUCAAUUCUUUGCUGUGCUAUAUGUCUUGGUCAUGCAUAUUGACAAGAAACUUCUAGGCUCAUGUCUAAAACUCUAGUUGUGAAAACUCACAAAUUCAGUGUUUUUUUCUGUAUUAUUUUAAGAUUAUUUUUUAUUAGGAUUCUAGAAUCUAAUGUGUUAAAUUGCAAUCAGUGAGAAAUUAGGUUUUGGUUUUAGUAAUAAUUUUUAGCUUAAAAAAAGCCUUAAAAUCAUUACAACUUAAAAAAAGUGAUAUGUCAAUGGAAUAGUCAAAGAAAAUUUUAGCUGUGUACAAACUUCUGUCUAAUAUCACCUGAUACUAAAAUACCCUUCAUAUCUCUAGAGGAAAAGUUACAAGCUCUCACUUUUACUGGGUCACAAAUAAACUUCAGAAAGCCAGGACUGUGAUGUUUUACAGCAAAGACACCAGUUCUGAGGUGUGAAGAAAACUUUGUACAUGGAUUUGACUGUCCCUUCUGCUAUUCAGAAAAGCUGAAUGAAAGUGAAGAAAAGCAUCAAAGCCAAGUUAAUUUCUUAAAAUCUUGGAUGAAAGCAAGUUCAAGAGAAGCAAUUAAAUAAUUUUGUAGGGUGGUCCAUUUAAAUGAAAAUGGCACUCUAUGAGGGGUGAGAGGCACUUGCUGGUUUGUUUUAUUUUUUGAGGUAUUUUGUUUGUUUGUUAAUUUUUAGUUGUUUUAUUUUUUGAGGGUUUUUCCUGUUUGUUAAUCUUUAGUGCUGCAGUGAAAUGCCUACAUCUGCUGAAAUUAAAUGUGUUAAGCGACAAGGCACUUUUGAAGGAGCUCUUUGGUACCUGUCUGAAUCCCUAGACAAUGAGUUACCUUUAAAAGCCUGGCUGUGAUCUGAAUAUUUGAUCACACAAAUGAUCAAGCUAAUUGAUUUUUUUUUUUCCUUAAUUCCUGUCCUAAAUCUACAUUCAGUAAUCCUAUGGGUAAAUUCAGAAUUAAUUAGAAUUGGAAAGUAAGAUAAAAAUUACUCAGUGGCAAAUCUUCCAGACAUUGUUCAGAACAGAUUCUAACUGAAACAAUUAUGUUUUUAUUUCAUAAUUGAUAUAAGCCAGUCUGACUCUUUCUUACAUCAGGAAAGGAUUGCUCUGGAUGUUCUGUUAUCCAUACUCAAAUGACCUGUGUUAAAGCAAUAAAAUAAAUUAGUUCAUAACUCAAUGGAAAAUCAGAGGUGGACUAUUACAUGAUUUAUAAUGAGUAGUUAUAGUAUUCUAAUUUCAAAAACAGUCUUUCCCUGUCUCUCCUGUCUCUUAUCCCAUCAAUUUACUCAGAAGGAAAUUCAUGUAUUCAGCAAAUAACUUGUUCUGUUUUGUACAAUUUAUACAUUUAUGUUUUACACAUUUUGCUGUGUUUCUUUUAGUGUGUUAUGAAAUUAUAUUUCAGUCCAUUGAAUCUUACUGUAAGGUCAAACUGACAACUAAUACUGGCUUAUUUCACCACAGCUAAUUAAAAGUGGGUUUGUUUAGUUUUUAAGUUAGGCUGCUUUCACAAUAUUCCUGCAGUAAAAAUCAAACAUACCACAUAAUUACAAGGAAAAAAAAAGAGGAUUUAAAAACAAACAAAAAGCCUCCUCACCCAAAAAACCCAAAGAAGCUCCCAAAACAUUUAUUUUCUGAUUAUCUGCCUGAAAUACCCAAAUCCACAGCAGGAAAAAAAAUGCCAGUGUGGUGGAAAUAAUUUAGGCACAAAAUACAAUAAAAUGUACACAGUGGAAAAUGUUAAAGGAAAAGACAUAGAAAAUUAUUUAUUAGAAUUUAUCUGAAUAAUACUUUUCAUAGCUCUGACUUGUAUCUGAAAUAAAUCAAUGAAUUUUAGGACAAAUCUCUUAAAAUAUCCUUUAAUUAAAAGAGAACACAUUGUUCCUACUUUUUUAACAGACUCAAUAUUUUCAGAUAUGUAACUGUAAUAGGUCACUGAACACUAACAGUCUUCAGUGGAAAUUUCUUCAUUGAAUUCAGGUAAAUAAUUCUAGAAUAUUCAUAAUUCCCUAAAGACAUUUAUGAUUUUUAUAAAUCAUAAGUAGUAGCCAAUCAUCACCUUUAUCAUUGGUGUAAUAUAUAGUUCGAUAUAGUUCAAAUGUGUCUCUUUACAAACAGUUUUCAUUUCUGACAGUAUAAAUCUAGCACAAAGAUAUCAAUCUCAUGGAAUUAUUCCUCACAACCUAUAGGUUCAAGAAGACAGAAACCUGGCUGCUGGGUGUGUGAGUUGGAAGCACGUGAACUAAUCUCAGACAAGUAUCAGGUUGUGAGUUCUCUGCCCAGCACAUAAAAAUGCAAUCCAGGUGUUGGUAUUUCCUCUCUUAAUUCACUCUGCAGAGCACUCGCUGCCAUGUGGACUGGCUCUGUACAGAUAAUCUCAUUACUGGCUUUGCAGCUGUUUGAUUUUACUCAAAGGUCAGCUUUGAUGUGAUUUCUAUAUCCAGGUCUCCCUUAAAUCAUGUUCUGAGGAUGACCUUUGGCAGAGCAACUGUGCCUGGAAACAGUGAUGUUACAGUUUAUUUAUACAACUUUUCUGAGCCCUAAUUUUUAUUUGCUGAUUGGAUGUGACAAGUGCAUUAAUUCUUACUUUGUCAAAGUUCUCUGAUAUAAUAGAGUAAUUUGGCUUAGGGGAACAGGGGGGAGAAAGAAACUUAAAAGAAAAAAUUCAAACACUGAAAAACUGGUCUUGAGAAUGAAUUUCCCUAUUGGUGCUAAUUGGUGACUGGAAAGAAUGUAGCAUAAUGCAACUAAUUUUUAUACCUGUUGAAACAAUGAAAAUCUGAUUAAAAACUAAAUUUAUAACAGGGUGUGUCCUACAAUAAAUAGGAAUGUGAUCUCCAUUCCUGAUUACAGCAGUUUAAUAGGUUAUUUCAAUUCAAUGCUUAAUGGAAAUUGAGAUACAAAAUGACACUUGCUUUGGCAUUUGCUAAAAAUUAUCUUGAGCAAAAAUUACCAAUAGGAAAAACCUGAGGCUACACGAGUUUAUUAAUGCCUUGUGAUAUCUUAUGUGUGCUUUUGUCCCUGAUACAACCUCGACCCUCUGUUUGGGCAUCCAGGUUCUGAGCAGUCAACACCAGGCAUUUGAGCAACUUCACUCAUUUCCGGGAUGACAAGCAGCCAUAAGUCCUUACAGAAGCAUUUUCUUGAUGAAACAUUUUCUGAAGCCAUGGAGCUGAUGAGAUCCUCCAUUUCCCUGAUUGCUUUCCACUCUUCUAGAAUGUGAAUGGGGGACCAUGUUGGAGAGAUGGAAAUGGGACAGAAAUUGCCACUGCUAUCCUCUUCUUGACUUCUGGCUGAGCUAUAUAGCAGAAUUGGAUGCCAUAAAUUGCAAACGUGAAGAACUUCAUUUGAACUCUUGAAGAAAAGGAGAAACUUGGCUUGUGCCACUUUAUCAUGCACUUUAAUUGAAAGCAAAUGUAUUUAACCUCUUUGAAAGCUUAGAAAAGCUUUCAAAUGUAAAUUUGUGAACCUUAAACAAAAAACCGGAGUACAUUUAAAAAAAAAAAUUCUACAUGUAAACCAGGUGAUAUUUCAGCAUAAAAUCAAAAUAGUUUCAUGAUUUACUUUUAAAAAGCGUGUUACAUACUAAAUAUUAUUAAAGCCUUGCUUAGCCCACAGUCAGAUGCUGAAGACCUAUUACUGAUGUUGUGAAUACUAAUUGCUUCCACCACAUUAUCUUUGUUGUGAAGCUUCACCUCCUGAUGAAUGUAACCAGUCUCUGGAUGCCAAAUCAGCCCUAUCAAGUUCAAGUCAAAGGUCUGGCAACAACAGAACCUUUCCCCACUCAUCGAGUGCAUUAACAUAUUGCCAAGUUCCCUGCUCUACGUGAGCUCCUCGUGCUGGGGGAUCCAUCUGAAGGGAGGUGCUGAUGCUGCUGGAAGGAUUCUGAAUUGAGCUGCAGUACAGAGCUGCCUGCUGUUGGUCAGCCAACUGCAGCUGAAAUACGUGGUGGUGGCACAUCUGGAAAUGAACACAAAAAUGUGAAAGGAAGGUGCUCUACAUCUGCACUAACCCUUCUUUUAUAUAGGGCUUACCCUGAGUUUGUCCUGACCUACCUAGAGGAGCUAAAUGAAAGAGAGGAGGUGACCCAGACAGAAAACUGUAUUCACCAUGGGGCCUGGUCUGCAGCUCAUCAGGAGAUAGACAGCAGCUCAGCAGAAGAGGUCACAGUAUUAAGCCAGAGGCAGGUUCUGCAAAAAAAUGUCAGCAACCCCAAUCAGAAACAACUUUCAGGACCUUUGGACGCCCAUUUAAUGCCUGCAGAUCCCCUGGGGGAGACUACACAGCUGACAGUGGCACUGGUGAGGAAACUAGAAGAGAAACAUCCUAAGGCCUCAGCUCAAAGCUGCGUCUGCUACAGAAACAAAUCCAGUUCCCUGCUCAUCACAGAGAGGAAAUGUCAUCUAUCCAUCUGAAAAUCUGGUUCAUGCCCCAAGUUCGAGCUGUCUUCAAUAGUGUUCACAUGCAAGGGAAAAGAGACUUAUAUUUUACCUGUGAGGACACAGGUUUGUGAAUUGCUUCCUUUGAGAGCUGUAGAACUGCGUGCAGCCUACUCUGGAAUACAGAUCACAGCCUCUUGCCCAAAUAUUUGGUGCUGGAACCAUUGGAUGCACACAACAAUGGCUCCUGUUGCCCAGUUUGUGCUUCUCACCAACACAAUCCUGUGCCCUUUCCUACUUAAAAGCGGUGCAGAGGUUUGUGGUGAACAGGAGGUGUGCACACACAAUUCUCUAAUACAUCAUACACAGUUCAGGGAAGCCUUGCAGGUGCCUUCCAACCUGUGGCAUUUCUCUGUAGUGUGUGAGAAAACACAUCAGUUCCACAGCUCUGCAUGAAGCUCUUCAGCUCUACAAGCAUUUGUGAGAGGAAGGUGAAUGUAUUGCCAAAAUCUGAAAUGAUACAUUAUUAUUUCUGGAAGUAAAUGAGAGCUCUGGCACAAAAAGCUU